GACGAACGCUGGCGGCGCGCUUAACACAUGCAAGUCGAACGGAAAGGCCUGCUUUCCCUUGUGGAUUGCGGGUACUCGAGUGGCGAACGGGUGAGUAACACGUGAGUGAUCUGCCCCCAACUUGGGUGUAAACCUGGGAAAAUGGGUCUAAUUCCCGCUAGGACUGCAGGGGGGGGCCUGUGGUGGCGAACGUUUUUUUAGCGGUUGGGGAUGAACUCGGGGGCUGUCGGAUUGUUGGUGGGGUAAUGGGCUACCAAGGCGGCGACGGGUAGCCGGCCUGGACGGUGGGACGGAGACACUGGCCAGGCGACUACGGGAGGCAGCAGUGGGGAGUCAUGCACGAUGGGCGGAAGACUGAGGCAGCGACGCUGCGUGGGCGAUGCCGGGCGUCGGGUUGUGGACUCCUGGUGGCAGCGAGGAAGCGACCUGGUUGGAAGGGGGGUGACGGUAGUGGGAGAAGAAGCACCGGCUAACUACGUG
rnacentral:rRNA from 1 species